rnacentral:rRNA from 1 species
GUGUCAGCCGCCGCGGUAAUACGGAGGAUCCGAGCGUUAUCCGGAUUUAUUGGGUUUAAAGGGUGCGUAGGCGGCCUAUUAAGUCAGGGGUGAAAUACGGUGGCUCAACCAUCGCAGUGCCUUUGAUACUGAUGGGCUUGAAUCCAUUUGAAGUGGGCGGAAUAAGACAAGUAGCGGUGAAAUGCAUAGAUAUGUCUUAGAACUCCGAUUGCGAAGGCAGCUCACUAAGCUGGUAUUGACGCUGAUGCACGAAAGCGUGGGGAUCGAACAGGAUUAGAAACCCCCGUAGUCC